UCGAGCGGCGAACGGGUGAGUAACACGUGAGCAACCUGCCCUAGGCUUUGGGAUAACCCUCGGAAACGGGGGCUAAUACCGAAUAUUCACUCAUGGGCGCAUGUUUGUGGGUGGAAAGUUUUUCGGCUUGGGAUGGGCUCGCGGCCUAUCAGCUUGUUGGUGGGGUAAUGGCCUACCAAGGCGACGACGGGUAGCCGGCCUGAGAGGGCGACCGGCCACACUGGGACUGAGACACGGCCCAGACUCCUACGGGAGGCAGCAGUGGGGAAUAUUGCACAAUGGGCGGAAGCCUGAUGCAGCGACGCCGCGUGAGGGAUGACGGCCUUCGGGUUGUAAACCUCUUUCAGCAGGGACGAAGCGCAAGUGACGGUACCUGCAGAAGAAGCGCCGGCCAACUACGUGCCAGCAGCCGCGGUAAGACGUAGGGCGCGAGCGUUGUCCGGAUUUAUUGGGCGUAAAGAGCUCGUAGGCGGCUUGUCGCGUCGACUGUGAAAACCCGUGGCUCAACUGCGGGCCUGCAGUCGAUACGGGCAGGCUAGAGUUCGGUAGGGGAGACUGGAAUUCCUGGUGUAGCGGUGAAAUGCGCAGAUAUCAGGAGGAACACCGGUGGCGAAGGCGGGUCUCUGGGCCGAUACUGACGCUGAGGAGCGAAAGCGUGGGGAGCGAACAGGAUUAGAUACCCUGGUAGUCCACGCUGUAA
rnacentral:rRNA from 2 species